GCCAGGCACAGUGGCACGUGCCUGUAGCUACUUGGGAGGCUGAGGUGGGAGGAUCGCUUGAGUCCAGGAGUUUUGGGCUGUAGUGCACUAUGCCAAUCGGGUGUCCACACUAAGUUCGGCAUCAAUAUGGUGACCUCCGAGGAGCAGGGGACCACCAGGUUGCCUAAGGAGGGGUGAACGGGCCCAGGUCGGAAACGGAGCAGGUCAAAACUCCCAUGCUGAUCAGUAGUGGGAUCGCGCCUGUGAACAGCCACUGCACUCCAGCCUGGGUAACAUAGCGAGACCCCUUCUCUU
ensembl:misc_RNA Metazoa_SRP Metazoan signal recognition particle RNA